rnacentral:rRNA from 1 species
AACAGCUCAAAUUUGAAAUCUGGCCUCUUCGGGGUCCGAGUUGUAAUUUGUAGAGGGUGUUUCGGGCGCGAUGCCGGUCUAAGUUCCUUGGAACAGGACGUCGCAGAGGGUGAGAAUCCCGUACGCGACCGGCGAUCAAGCCUGUGUGAAGCCCCUUCGACGAGUCGAGUUGUUUGGGAAUGCAGCUCAAAAUGGGUGGUAAAUUUCAUCUAAAGCUAAAUAUUGGCCAGAGACCGAUAGCGGACAAGUAGAGUGAUCGAAAGAUGAAAAGCACUUUGGAAAGAGAGUCAAACAGUACGUGAAAUUGUUGAAAGGGAAGCGCUUGCAAUCAGACCGGUCCGGAGGCGAUCAGCCGCUGCUCGUUCAGCGGUGCACUCGCCUGCGAUCCGGCCAGCAUCGGUUUGGGCGGUGGGAUAAAAGUUCCGGGAAUGUAGCUUCUCUCGGGGAGUCUUAUAGCCCGGGUUGCAAUGCCGCCCGCCCGGACCGAGGACCGCGCUUCGGCUAGGAUGUUGGCGUAAUGGUUGCAAGCGACCC